UAGCCUAGUGGUAAGGCUUAGGAUCGCCAAUCCGGAGACGGCGGGUUCAAUUCCCGC
rfam:Aedes albopictus isolate Foshan contig118835, whole genome shotgun sequence.